AUGGAUGGAUCCCCCGUACGUCGGUCCGCCCGCGUCCCCUCCGGACAUAUUCGCGCCGUCGUGGCCGCUCGUGGCACACCCAGCACCCCCGCCCCGGCAUCCAACGACGCACGCAAGCAACCCCAACGCUCGCUACGCGCGCCGCGCAACCACCACCGGCAUCCACUGUCCACUGCCCCAACGGCCAAGGAUAAUCAAACCACGGCACGGCAGGGCAGUGGUUCGGCCGGCCAGUGGCCACUCCCGAUCUCACUAGCUACCCAAUCACUAGUUAGGCCUCGGGUACCUGCGUGCGUACCACGCGGGGGCGGACCCGAUCGCGACGACACCACCGGCACUAGGCGGGCGAGGCCGAUGGCUCGAGGAACACGUGGGGGAAAGGCGAGCGCACGCAACGCAUAUCCAACGGGGACGGAGACGUGCCGCUUGCCGUUGCCGUUGCCGCCCUGGGAAAGGCGCCGGCCGAGUCGCCGAACCCGAGCCGGCUGCGGCUGCGGAAAAGUCAGGUGCGACGGAACGGACCAGCUCCAUCGGCCCAGCCGGGGCCAGGCAAGGCGAGAGAGAGAGAGAGAGAGAGAGAGAGAGAGAGAGAGAGAGAGAGAGAGAGGGGCUUCCUGCCGACCCCGUACGGCGUAA
rnacentral:rRNA from 1 species